rnacentral:rRNA from 1 species
AUUGAACGCUGGCGGCAUGCCUUACAUAUGCAAGUCGAACGGUAACAGGUCUUCGGAUGCUGACGAGUGGCGAACGGGUGAGUAAUACAUCGGAACGUGCCUAGUAGUGGGGGAUAACUACUCGAAAGAGUGGCUAAUACCGCAUGAGAUCUACGGAUGAAAGCAGGGGAUCGCAAGACCUUGUGCUACUAGAGCGGCCGAUGGCAGAUUAGGUAGUUGGUGGGAUAAAAGCUUACCAAGCCGACGAUCUGUAGCUGGUCUGAGAGGACGAUCAGCCACACUGGGACUGAGACACGGCCCAGACUCCUACGGGAGGCAGCAGUGGGGAAUUUUGGACAAUGGGCGCAAGCCUGAUCCAGCAAUGCCGCGUGCAGGAUGAAGGCCUUCGGGUUGUAAACUGCUUUUGUACGGAACGAAAAGCCCUGGGUUAAUACCCUGGGGUCAUGACGGUACCGUAAGAAUAAGCACCGGCUAACUACGUACCAGCCGCCGCAGUAAGAC